ensembl:rRNA 5S_rRNA 5S ribosomal RNA
UUGAGCAGCCAUAUCACCCUGUAGCCCAAGACUGGUUGCCCACUGAAGCUGUAGCAGUACCUGGAUGGGAGACCUGCUGGGAAAACUAGGUUGCUGCUGGAA